UUUUGCUUAGGCCUUUCCUGGACCUUAAAGCAUGACAAAAAUAACAAAGGAAUUCUUAACAGGAUCCUUUUAGGAUUAAACAAGUUUUCUUGGGAGUCUGAAGAAACUCUCCAGGCCUCCACAAACAAGUUUAUUGGAGGUCUGAAGGAAUUCCCCAAACCCCCAUGAUGUAGCAGGAGACAAGAUGAGGGUAAUCACCGCAACACCUAGACUCAUUUAGAUCAAGUAAACUUACUGAGGCUCCAGAAGAAGGUCUUCAGGACUCCGACCUUAGUUAUAGAUUAAAAGAAGUUACUCACUUGUGUCUUUAGACGAAUGCACACUUACACAUAGACAUAUAGCUUAGAAGGUAUAUAAGCCCUGAAACACUUUCUAAUUUUGAGUUGGUCUGGCGAUAAUUUCCAGACCUUCUCCCUGUAACGGGUGACAGAAAUAAAAACUCUCUUUCUGCCCGGUUCAUCUGCAUCUCGUUACUAGGCCGCGAGAAAUAGCAGCCUGACUUUCGCUUGGUCCUGGAACAAAGUUUGGUACACCAGCCAGGAGGUAAGGAUGGUGCUGUUUUCAGCCGCUGGCAGCCUGUGAGGAGACAGUCUUCAGCAGGAUCUCCCAGCUGCCAGGUGAGGUUUCCCCACGGGACCCUCCAGAGGGCUGUUCCCUGGACAAAUCUGCAUGUCCCUUUCACUGCUGGGGAAGAAUGGAGAUCGGGAGCGGAUGCGCUCAAAGGGUGCAAUAUAGGUGGUGAUAACUGUGGUGGUGAUAACUGUGAAGGUAGAGAGCAUUCCUAUCUCUUCCUGAGACUCCAAAAAGGCACUUGGAUUGUUUCCAUAUCUUUACUAUUGUGACCAAAGCUGCAAUGAACAUCGCAGUGCAGAUAUCUCUUCAAGAUGCUAGAGAGUGAUUCCAGCUUGCAAGGUGACUGUGGAACAGCUCUGAUGCAGCCUCAGGAAAUUACCCUUCUUGUGGGCUGCAACUACAUCCCCAACAAGAUCUGGCCCCGAUCCUGGUGAAGGUCUACUUUUCUCUGUUUGUCCUUCUAUGGGUGCUCUCCAUUACCCCAGGGUACUUUAUACCACAUCUGCCUAUCUUUUCAUUUACCCUCCUAUUCUAUGCUUUAUAAUAAUUAUUAUUUAUUUUUGAGACUUAGUCUCACUGUGUUGCCCAGGCUGGAGUGCAAUGGCAUGAUCUCAGCUCAGUGCAACCUCCGCCUCCUGAGUUCAAGUUAUUCUCCAGCCUCAGCUUCCCAAGUAGCUAGGAUUACAGGUGCCUGCCACCAUGCCCGGCUAAUUUUUGUAUUUUUAGUAGAAACAGG
rnacentral:lncRNA from 10 species